UACGUAGGUGGCGAGCGUUGUCCGGAUUUACUGGGCGUAAAGGGAGCGUAGGCGGAUUUUUAAGUGAGAUGUGAAAUACUCGGGCUCAACUUGAGUGCUGCAUUUCAAACUGGAAGUCUAGAGUGCAGGAGAGGAGAGUGGAAUUCCAUGUGUAGCGGUGAAAUGCGUAGAUAUAUGGAGGAACACCGGUGGCGAAAGCGGCUCUCUGGCCUGUAACUGACACUGAGGCUCGAAAGCGUGGGGAGCAAACAGG
rnacentral:rRNA from 1 species